GCACAAAAUAAUCUGCAUGCCAAAGAGACGUUUUUGGGAAGGCAAGUUUUCCUCCCUUAUACCACUUUUCCAUGGCUUCAUCCUGCAUGAUACCUGUUACCUUAGCACUUUAUGGAGCAAUUUUGCCUUACAUACAGGUUCAUUUUAGGAUGCUGCAAAUUAAACUGACAAGACAGAUUAAUCGAAGAAAAGCACUUGCUACAAGCAACUCACACAGGAGGGAACCCACUGAUGAGUAAGUCAGAGGGGUGGUUAAAAUUUCGGGCUUACACACCGUCUUAAAAGGUGAAGAAGAGCAAGCAGAAAGGCAAACCAAAAUAUUUGGGUUGUUGUUAAGAAAAACGGAGGACAAACAGGAGAUAAGAGUUGGUGAUACUGUUUGCCCACACAAAUACAAGCGGCCUUUCCAUCUCCUUCACAGCCAUAAAAUUCCCCUGGAGAAAGGAUUCGGGUCGGAUUUCUUCAUGUUCUCCCUUUGAGGGUAGAUCUGUCCUGAAGAGGAAUUUAUGGCAGCCUCUUAUUUUGCAGAAGCUGAUGUUCCUAGUCAGAUAAGGGAAAUUCUAGAAGUCUAAGAGGAUUUCUUUCUUUCCCUUCCUCCCUCCUCCCUCCCCCCCCCUUUCUCUCUCUCUCUUUCUUUUCUUCUUCUUCUCCUCUCACUCUCUUCCCACCUCCUCCCCCUUCUUUUGGUUUCUUCCAAUUUCAAAUGUCCUCUGCUUAAACUAAUCUAAGAUACCAAAGUUAAUAUGCCCAAGUUGCAUAUUUGAUGGUGGCAGAGUCUGAUGUCUUUCAGAAGUUAAGCGGUUUGUCUGAGAUUAAAAAAUGAAUUAAAAACAAAAAUAAACCACAAGCAGGUCUCCUGCCUUCCUGUCUAAAACUCUCCCCAUGUUAUAAACAGCAAGUAACAAAGAAGGAAAGAGAAGAGAGAAGGCUGUAGGUGGCAGCAGUUUUGCUAGCAUAGGAACAAACAAUAAAACAUUCUCAUGAGAAAUAAAAAUUAUAGACAGUCUCCCAGUUCAUGAAUGUAUUUCGGAAAAUUUUGUCCACUCUUGAUGACUCAGUGUUGCGAAACAGACCUUCAGGGUGCAAGGUAGAGUUCUGUUCCCAGAGAGCCAUAGCAUAAUGUACAAAGUUGCAAUUAUGAAGUGCCUCCUUCUGUUCCAAGCAACCAGAGAGAGAGGUUACAAACGUUCAAGGGAUUCUGAAAUGAUGGUCAUGGUGUUCCAGUACUUCUCUCGUUGGACAUGAAAAAUACAGAGAUGUGUCAGAAAAACUGGAGGACAGCCAUCACAUUUAAACCUCUUCCUCAAGAGCCUACUUACCUGGAAAACAUGAGUGAGAAGACCUUGAAAAUCAUUCGGGAGUUCCCGCUGUGGCACAGGGAGUUAACGAUCCCGCUUGUUUCUGUGGAGUUCGGGUUCCAUCUCCAGCCCAGUGCAGUGGAUCUGGUGUUUCUGCAGCUAUGGUGUAGGUUACAGCUCCAGCUCGGAUUCAGUCCCUAGCCCAGGAACUUCCAUAUGCCCAAGGUGAGGCCAAAAAAGAAAAAAAGAAAAUCCUUUCAGAGUGUAUGUAUAAGCCUCCUCAUCUGUAUGCAACUCUGUUGCUGGCUCUGCGGGCCCCCGCCCCCAGCUGCUUACAGAGAAGCUGGGCGAUGAAGACUUCAGGGAGGUUGGGGCUGCAGAGCAGAAUUCACUGGGACUGGAGUUCCCAUCGUGGCGCAGUGGUUAACGAAUCCGACUAGGAACCAUGAGGUUGCGGGUUUGAUCCCUGGCCUUGCUCAGUGGGUUUAGGAUCUGGCGUUGCCAUCAGCUGUGGUGUCGAUUCCAGAUGCGGAUCGGAUCCCGCGUUGCUGUGGCUCUGGCAUAGGCUGGCGGCUACAGCUCCGAUUGGACCCCUAGCCUGGGAACCUCCAUAUGCUGCGGGAGUGGCCCAAGAAAAGGCAAAACGAC